AUGACCCACAGCACUAGGGGGGGGGCACAGGAUGUCCCCCUCAUGCUCUUUUUUUCAAGGGAAAGAACCAUAAGCUCAGGGGAGACCACUCAUUGUGGUGCUAUACCAGCCUUGUUGGAGGUGCAAUGCAGUCAGUGUGUAGUGACUUCUCUUACUCUUCUAAUGCACACUAGCCUCACAACACUGAUCAGGUAUAAAUGUCACUGGAAAAGAACCUACCCACGUUUUAAAGAUCUUCCACAUUCAACUAGUUUAUAAUGUAAGAUUUAACUUUUGUUUUUAUUAAAUAUUUCUGAGAUAAUCGACCUGUAUAUUCACACAGUAGAAUCAAAUCUGUACUGCAUUGUACAUAGAGCCUAACAAACCUGUUUGAAUUUUCAGUUUCCAUUAUUUUACUCCUGCUUUCCUAACCCAUGUCCCUCUCCACGUAGAUAUUGUGAAAGAGUCUAUCUAAUAUUUGUUUGUAACACUUUUCUUCUGUAGGUUUUAAAAAACAACUGCAUAAAGCAGUCAUUAUACAACUAAGUUGUGUGGCUCUAACACAAAAAGUGGUAAUUCGUAUGGUGGUAAUAUGACAGAAGAGAGGUAAGGACAGCGGCUUAAUCAAGCCCAGUUUUCAUAUAAUAUUGGUAUAAAUUAGAAUUAAUCUGAAUUUUGGUUGUUUUAAAUUAAGAUGCUAAUUGUAAUUCCCAGGAGAACCAAUAAGAAAAUAAGCCAAAAUGCUUAAUAGCAGUGACAUCAGCAUGAGAUGGCAGCAUCAGUCAUUCUUUUCUCUCCCUUUUUAUUUGCAACUGAAGUAGUCCUUUGUAACCAAACAAAGGUGCCUCUGCACAGUAAACUGGAGAACUUAGAUUUCCUCCUACCUGUGCUACAGGAAGUGGGUGGAUAGGACUUUGAUGGGGCUGCACAUUCAAGGGAGUCGCUGAGACUGCCCCACUCCUAGUCAUUGCAAUUUGAGUAAAAGCAAAACUGGUGAGUGCAAAACAAGGUGAGCCUGCAAGACAAAAGCAAAAUUUGUGGGUGUCCAGCUGGCCUGAUGGGAGAACCAGGUAUGUCACUGGAGUGCAAUGUCAAGACAGAUCUCAAGGAAUCUGUACCCCUCCCAAGGCAGCACUGCAAACUGCUGCUCUUUUGCUGGUGGUGACCACGGUCACCUAUCUCAUAGAGGAG
rnacentral:lncRNA from 1 species